rnacentral:rRNA from 1 species
UACGUAGGGUGCAAGCGUUAAUCGGAAUUACUGGGCGUAAAGCGUGCGCAGGCGGUUAUGCAAGACAGAUGGGAAAUCCCCGGGCUUAACCUGGGAACCGCAUUUGUGACUGCAUAGCUGGAGUACGGCAGAAGGGGAUGGAAUUCCGCGUGUAGCAGUGAAAUGCGUAGAUAUGCGGAGGAACACCGAUGGCGAAGGCAGUCCCCUGGGCCUGUACUGACGCUCAUGCACGAAAGCGUGGGGAGCAAACAGG